rnacentral:rRNA from 1 species
GCUCCAAUAGCGUAUAUUAAAGUUGUUGCGGUUAAAGAGCCGUAGUCGAAUUUCGGGCGCGGCGUUUGGUCGGCCUUAAUGGCUUGUACUUGUAGCGUUGCGCCUUUCCUCCUAGGUUGCUGUACUUUGUGCAGUUGUCUAGGACUAUUACUUUGAAUAAAUUAGAGUGUUUAAAGCAGGCUUACGCUUGAAUACAUUAG